rnacentral:rRNA from 1 species
GAUGAACGCUAGCGGCAGGCCUAACACAUGCAAGUCGAGGGGUAGCAGGAUUAAGCUUGCUUAAUUGCUGACGACCGGCGCACGGGUGCGUAACGCGUAUGCAACCUACCUUAUACUGGGGUAUAGCCCGGAGAAAUUCGGAUUAAUCCCCCAUAGUACUAAUGAAUCGCAUGGUUUAUUGGUUAAAGCAUUGCGGUAUAAGAUGGGCAUGCGUCCUAUUAGCUAGAUGGUGAGGUAACGGCUCACCAUGGCUACGAUAGGUAGGGGGCCUGAGGGGGUGGUCCCCCACACUGGUACUGAGACACGGCCCAGACUCCUACGGGAGGCAGCAGUGAGGAAUAUUGGUCAAUGGGCGCAAGCCUGAACCAGCCAUGCCGCGUGCAGGAAGAAUGCCCUAUGGGUUGUAAACUGCUUUUAUUUGGGAAUAAACCUCUUUACGUGUAGAGAGCUGAAGGUACCAAAUGAAUAAGCACCGGCUAACUCCGUGCCAGCAGCCGCCGUAA